UCAUCACCUGCGUGUUGGGGUUCACCUCGCUGUGCGCCGUGCCCACGUUCAUCUCGCCCGGUGUCUGCUAUUCCGCACACGUAGGGGCCACAGCGACGCGCCCAACAGGUGUCGCCAGCAUCACAGUGUGAAGCACACUGGACUAACACCACCAUGUUCCUCCUAGUCUGAGUGGACUCUAAUGAAAAUCAGCCAAGAAGCCACCGUCUAUUCUCCUCUACUGUAACUAAAAACAAGGGCCUGGAAAUUACAGCAGAUGCCCUACUUAAUUUGCAAGUGUGGAAGAAAAAAAAAGAAGAAAAAAAGCUUACAUUCAGGAGAACUUGAAUAGUAACUUUUACCAGAGUUUCACUAUUUAAAGCCAUUGUGUCAAUAACUUUGUGCAAAAAAAUUAUGGUCUGUAGGGGCUGUUUUUCAUUGACAUUCAUUUCACUUACUCUUCAAGUUACAAGUACAAGUGUUUCUACUUUCCAAAGUAUACAUAUUUCUGCUUCCCUUGGAUACAUUCAUUUGGUUUUUAUUGAGAUUACUUUCUAGUAUAUUAAGUAAUAAAUGAGACUUUUUAACACAUGCUAAUUGUCACAAUUAAGUACUUUACAGAACAUUUUAAAGUCUUCCUCCAGUCAAUGAUCUAAGCCAGACUUACUGCCAGCCAGA